CGAACUUUCUGAGGAUGACAGACUUAAAAGCGUUCUGAAGGAAGGAACCGUGGAGUUUUGGAAGAUUGUGCCGGUUGAGAGAUAUCCCAAUGUCAAACGGGCUGCACUCAAACUACUGUCAAUGUUUGGGUCAACUUACAUCUGUGAAUCACUUUUUUCGACACUGAAACAAGUGAAAUCAAAGCAUCGCUCUGUUCUUACUGACACACAUGUGAAAGAGUUACUACGAGUAGCCACAACUGAAUACAAGCCAGACCUAAAAGAGAUUGUGGAAACCAAGGACUGUCAGGUGUCCCACUGAGUCAAAUAAAAGGAGGUUCGCCACCCCUGCUCCAGAUGAUCAAUGGGGAAACGCAUGCUUUACAUUUUCCCUCAAGAACAAAUUGACACUACACCCCCUUCUCUAUUAAGCUGUGGAUGGUGCACCUGAAGAGUACGUCAACUCCUGAACUUGGGAGGCACGCAGUCCAGUGAAGAAGACAACCAAAGCUUUGUGGGUUCUCACUACAAACCUCCAGACAACAAUUCAGAGGCUUGAUGGCGAUGAACCCGUCUGACCAGCGGAGGGGCAACAUCAGCAGUCUGGUCUUUUCUUGGGACUGGCCACCAGUAAUUCAGAGGUGGCUAUUUCAACAUUUGGCAAUCCUUAACCAGAUGUCAUUCCAUGGCCAGACAAUCAGCAGCAUUCUUGAGGACAUGCACAGAGACGGGCA